rnacentral:rRNA from 1 species
UGGGGAAUCUUAGACAAUGGGGGAAACCCUGAUCUAGCGAUGCCGCGUGUGUGACGAAGGCCUUAGGGUCGUAAAGCACUUUCGCCAGGGAUGAUAAUGACAGUACCUGGUAAAGAAACCCCGGCUAACUCCGUGCCAGCAGCCGCGGUAAUACGGAGGGGGUUAGCGUUGUUCGGAAUUACUGGGCGUAAAGCGCACGUAGGCGGACUAUUAAGUCAGGGGUGAAAUCCCGGGGCUCAACCCCGGAACUGCCUUUGAUACUGGUAGUCUUGAGUUCGAGAGAGGUGAGUGGAAUUCCGAGUGUAGAGGUGAAAUUCGUAGAUAUUCGGAGGAACACCAGUGGCGAAGGCGGCUCACUGGCUCGAUACUGACGCUGAGGUGCGAAAGCGUGGGGAGCAAACAGGAUUAGAUACCCCCGUAGUCC